AUGAGCAGUUACCACAAGCACCCAGGGCUUCAAAAUUCCCUGUUUAGCACUGAAAUGGUCACAAAUAUGUGACCACGAGGCACUAAAGGCCGAGUGCUGUGGAUUUUUUGCAUUAUUUCUCUCAGCAGCCCUUUGCAGAGCAGGAGAAUCACCAAUGUGAUUGGGAAAAUAAAUGGCUUGCAGUACCUUUACACUGGGGCAGCUCACACUUCUGGGACCGGUAGCACCAGUGGCCCACUAAAAAACAGGAAAUAAAACAGGUGAAUGAAAAUCUGUACAAAUAAUGCCCCCCAAAAGCAGCAGGGCAAUGGGUUGGCAGCUCUGCCCCCUCCAGAUCCCCUCCUGAUCUCUCAUAAACCACUUUAUAGCCAUUAAUGGCCCCCCAAGAACCUGUGCUGGCAGGAAUCUUUAGAUUCAGAAUUCUGAAUGGGCUGCAGUCCUAAAGAAUUUGAUUUUCAAACCUUGGCUUCCUCAGCUUUCUUGAGGCAGAAGUUCCACAUUUGAAUAUAUGCAGUGUUACAGCAAAUUUCCUUUUAUCAGCUCUGCACUUGCCAGCCUCUCACAGACCUGUAAAUUCACUUAUCUCAGCCUGUUCCAGGAACUCCUUUGAAGUUUACCUGGGGAAGAAUUCUGGGAAAUGAAGGAUCUCACUUCCUGCAGCACCUGGGGAUCUUUGCUCUAACUCAGCCGUGCUCCCCACAGGGAUGGAUGCAAAAUUCUGCAGCAGAACAUCUGAAUUUUACUUUUUCAUUGUCAAAAGAAACACAAAAUUCAGAGGACAAGAGCUGAUUUAAUUUUAUGUGUUUGUCUAGUUAGGACAGUAGGAUUGUUUUGUUUAUCCCAAGUUGCUUCAGUGUUUCUUUAUUUAUUCUAAACUUUAAAUUGACUUUGACAGGGGUAGUUCUCUUUGGCUAUUUAACUUCAGUCCAUAACAAUUCAAACCCUCUUAUAAUGAUGAUUGAUACCACACCUUCUGUUUGCUUGUGAUUAGUAAAUUAUAGGCAUUUUAAUAAAUGGCUAAUCAAUUUUUAGGAUAAUUACGGAGGAGCCCUGUCACUUGACUGGUAAUUACCUUAAUUGGUAAUUUAUAACACACCUGCUGGAAGGCUUUUAACACCUUUAUCUUGAUAUCAGUGGCAUAACAAUGCACCCAUCCAUUAAGGGUUUAGAAGUUAUAAAUAGAGAAUUGUUGCAGAACCUGAGCAGCUGUGACACAGAGGGAGACCUCGUGGCAAUUAAUAUAACCUUAAAAAAUGACAGUUUCUGGUUUUCUUUCACAAAAACGAAAUUUCUGCUGAAAACUACAAACAAUGUUUCCUCACUUUGUAGCUUAGCAAGACUGGGAAGAAAAACAAACUUUGCUUUUUUUGUGUGGACUGUGGCACCGAGCUCUUCCUCAUCCCCACAGGAAAGUUUCCAGCACAGGAUGUCACAGUGCCUUAAUCAAUAUUGUAAUCAAUGAAUUAAAAUGAUUAAUUUCCAUUUGUUGCAGAAUGGCAGCUGAGCUGAUCUCCACGUGUGUUUUCACACGGAUCAAAGGCUCCAGGUGUGGUUCUGGCAGCUGCUCUGGGGUCGGUGUGAACUUUUAACAAUCCCAGCAGCCUGGGACUGGGAGUUUCUUGGCAAUUUACACACGAAGGAACCUUCAGGUGUGAAAAAAACCCAGCAGGAAUAACCUGGAAGGAUUUGCUGCCAAAUCUUUGGGAUGGAAAGCAGAGGGGGAAGGUGAGAGCUCCAGGCUGGGAGUUCCAGGAGGUUUCACAGUGGAGUGGGAGCAUGGCCUGGACAUCAAAGCAUUUCUGCAAAUCCGAUUUUCCAGGUGUGAGCCACAGCUGGGAGCCAGGACAGCAGCGUGGAGGCUGUGGGGAUUUUAAACCUCUAUGUGGAGAUUUUAAACCUCUACCCUGGAACCACCAAAUUCAAAGAGAGCCACAGGGGGAAGGGGAAUUAUCCCCAGAUUGUGCUGGUCCUGAGCCAGGGGAAUGGAAAUGGGUUCUGUCCCACCCUUCCCAAACACAGAAAUCUCAGAGUUUUUACCCCCUGAGUUUUUACCCCCUGAGUUUUUACCCCCUGAGGUGUCUGGCAAGUUGUGCCAAAUAAACCUCUCAAUAUUCACCUCUCAAUAAACUGACACUUGAGAACACCACAGAUCCUCCAGCCUGGGCGUCAAAAUGAUGGGGAGAAAAAGUUGAAUAAAAUAAAAUUUAAUUUUGAAAACCCAGCCCUCAGUGGCUACAGCUGCCUCACAUCCAGCACUCAGGAGUGUUUCAUAAUCAUUAUCUGAUUUUUGCAUCUUUCCACCAAAUUCCCAAUGUCUCUGAACAAGGUAAGAAUUGUGUUUGCUACCAAGUGCUUACCACACUUGUGGGUGGAUGAUAUCAGUGAAGUAGAAGAGCACAUAAAUCCAGCAUUUCAUAAGAGAAAUGUCCUUGAAGCUGUUAAACCUUGAAGAACGAGCUAAUUAAACAUUACAGAAUGCCUGAGCAAACAGUGGAUUCAUGUUUAGUGUGAAUUAGGGCUGGUUUUUUUGGUUUGGUUUUUUUUUUUUUGAUUGGCAGCAAUGGAACAUUGGGGAACAGGAGCCUUUGUGUGGCUGCUGCUCAGGCCCUGAGGAGGAAAAUUUACAUUUGGAUUUGAUGGGAGUGGGAUGUGAGCCUCCCUCCCUGUAGGAACCUUGCAUGACAAUGGCUCUUUCUUCCCCUGAGCUUUGGGGAAGCUCCUUGUCACAUCCAGGCAGCUCUCCCUGGUUUUAGGCAGGAUUAUGGCCUCAGGCACGUUGUCCAGGCCACUUGGAAUUGUCCAGAGGCUCCUGCCACUUCCCUUGGAAGAGUUUUGCACAGUGCAUUAGGCCACGCUGUCAGGAAAUGUUUCCUAUUUAAUAGCUUACAUUUUCCACUUCCUUA